CUACGGGUGGCUGCAGUGAGGAAUAUUGCACAAUGGGGGGAACCCUGAUGCAGCAACGCCGCGUGGAGGAUGACGCAUUUCGGUGUGUAAACUCCUUUUAUAUGUCAAGAAAAUGACGGUAGCAUAUGAAUAAGCACCGGCUAACUCCGUGCCAGCAGCCGCGGUAAUACGGAGGAUGCAAGCGUUACUCGGAAUCACUGGGCGUAAAGGACGCGUAGGCGGGUUGGAAAGUCAGGUGUGAAAUCCUACAGCUUAACUGUAGAACUGCACUUGAAACUUCUAAUCUAGAGUAUGGGAGGGGGAGAUGGAAUUAGUGGUGUAGGGGUAAAACCCGUAGAUAUCACUAGGAAUACCUAAAGCGAAGGCGAUCUCCUGGAACAUUACUGACGCUAAGGCGUGAAAGCGUGGGGAGCAAACAGGAUUAGAUACCCCAGUAGUC
rnacentral:rRNA from 1 species